rnacentral:rRNA from 1 species
UGCUGGGGGUGCUCAGACAUGCAGUCGAACGCGAAAGUCCCCUUCGGGGGAUAAGUAGAGUGGCGCACGGGUGAGUAACACGUAGGUAAUCUACCUUCGGGUGGGGAAUAACCCAGGAAACUUGGGCUAACACCGCAUAAUGCAGCGGCACCACAUGGUGACAGUUGUUAAAGCGGGGGAUCUUAGGACCUCGCGCCUGAAGAGGAGCCUGCGGCGGAUUAGCUAGUUGGUGAGGUAACGGCUCACCAAGGUAACGAUCCGUAGCCGGCCUGAGAGGGCGGUCGGCCACACUGACACUGACAUACGGGUCAGACUCCUACGGGAGGCAGCAGUCGGGAAUUUUGGGCAAUGGGCGAAAGCCUGACCCAGCAACGCCGCGUGAAGGAUGAAAUCCCUCGGGAUGUAAACUUCGCAAGAAUGGGAAGAAUUAGUAGGGGUUAAUACCCCCUAUGAUGACGGUACCAUUUGUAAGCUCCGGCUAACUCCGUGCCAGCAGCCGCGGUAAUACGGGGGGAGCAAGCGUUGUUCGGAAUUACUGGGCGUAAAGCGCGUGUAGGCGGGUCGUUAAGUCGGGGGUGAAAUCCCAGAGCUCAACUCUGGAACUGGCUUCGAUACUGGCGACCUGGACCCAAGUAGAGGCGAGUGGGAUUACGAGUGUAGAGGUGAAAUUCGUAGAUUUCGUAGGAACACCAGUU